rnacentral:rRNA from 1 species
CGAACGGGUGAGUAAUGCGUGACCAACCUGCCCCAUGCUCCAGAAUAGCUCUUGGAAACGGGUGGUAAUGCUGGAUGCUCCAACUUGACGCAUGUCUUGUUGGGAAAGUGUUUAGUGGCAUGGGAUGGGGUCGCGUCCUAUCAGCUUGUAGGCGGGGUAAUGGCCCACCUAGGCUUCGACGGGUAGCCGGCCUGAGAGGGCGGACGGCCACAUUGGGACUGAGAUACGGCCCAGACUCCUACGGGGGCAGCAGCUU